AUAUUGCACAAUGGGCGAAAGCCUGAUGCAGCGACGCCGCGUGAGGGAUGACGGCCUUCGGGUUGUAAACCUCUUUCAGCAGGGACGAAGCGCAAGUGACGGUACCUGCAGAAGAAGCACCGGCUAACUACGUGCCAGCAGCCGCGGUAAUACGUAGGGUGCAAGCGUUGUCCGGAAUUACUGGGCGUAAAGAGUUCGUAGGCGGUUUGUCGCGUCGUUUGUGAAAACCAGCAGCUCAACUGCUGGCUUGCAGGCGAUACGGGCAGACUUGAGUACUGCAGGGGAGACUGGAAUUCCUGGUGUAGCGGUGAAAUGCGCAGAUAUCAGGAGGAACACCGGUGGCGAAGGCGGGUCUCUGGGCAGUAACUGACGCUGAGGAACGAAAGCGUGGGUAGCGAACAGGAUUAGAUACCCUGGUAGUCCACGCCGUAAACGGUGGGCGCUAGGUGUGGGUUCCUUCC
rnacentral:rRNA from 1 species